rnacentral:rRNA from 1 species
AUUGAACGCUGGCGGCAGGCCUAACACAUGCAAGUCGAACGAGUGGCGGACGGGUGAGUAAUGUCUGGGCAACUGCCCGAUGGAGGGGGAUCACUACUGGACACCGUCGCUAAUCCCGCAUACCAUCAGAUGUGCCCAGAUGGGAUUAGCUAGUAGGUGGGGUAACGGCUCACCUAGGCGACGAUCCCUAGCUGGUCUGAGAGGAUGACCAGCCAACCUGGAACUGAGAAACGGGCCAGACUCCUACGGGAGGCAGCAGUGGGGAAUAUUGCACAAUGGGCGCAAGCCGGAUGCAGCCAUGCCGCGUGUAUGAAGAAGGCUUUCGGGUUGUAAAGUACUGUCAGCGGGGAGGCGUUACUCGCAGAAGAAGCACCGGCUAACUCCGUGCCAGCAGCCGCGGUAAUAC